rnacentral:tRNA from 1 species
GUGACUGUAGUCAAGCGGUUAAGACAAUGGAUUGUGAUUCCAUCAUGCGGGGGUUCGAAUCCCCUCAGUCACCCCA